GAAAAUUGUUUUGUUGUGGACAGUUACAGAACAAUUACCACGGAAAACAUUUAAAAAAAUAUAUAUAUAUAUGUUUUAAAUGUGACCUUAACACGAGAGAAUGCGACGUUAAGUUUGCACCAAUAGCACAUGAAGAAUACUCUACUUGAGGGCUAAAAAUUUUUCAAUGUGAAUAUCAAAAGUGCUGAGUUGAAAAUGUCAAUUGUAUUCCCAGUUAUUCAUCUACUAAUUAAACAAAAAUAGUUGUUAAUAGUCCUCCGUAGCACAGCAUUAGUUUGUGCGAACGACAUCAUGAUUGUGAUAGCUAAGACAACUUGCUCUCUCGAAUAGGAUUUAGAGAAACAUUUUUAACAAAUGUUUGAUUAUUUUAUCGAACGAUUACUUACAUUGUCCUGCGGCUAUCGCAAUCAUCGAAAUGAUCAACAGCAGCCCAAUCGCACUCUUCAGUAGUUUCAUCCUUUUGUGGCCUAUGAAGGUUAACAGACAGGUUUCGCGUACCUUAGUCACGCUAGGAUAGACUUCGACAAAUGUUUACGAGCUCCAUGAAGUCACUUUGGAGAAGAUGGACACUGAAGUCAAUUCAGAACGGGAAUUUUAUCAUCGAGGAACAGGAAAGUCAAAGCCUCAGAUUGAACGGGAUCCUGGGGGGCUCAGAAGGAAUAUCGAUUCCUCCCUAGAGUUGAAGCUGCUGGAUCCCCAGGAGUUCACAGGAAGUGUCCAGGAGUAAAUAACACGAUAAUUCCGAAGUCCCCAUAUUGCCAAGAACCACCUCGACCAGAGAACCAUAACUUUUUCAGAAAUUCACUAUCAAUUGCAAUUUGACUUGUGUAUUGUUCACAGAGGUAAGUUAUGUUUGAUAAGUAAAUUUCUCUGGCGUGCACAGUGGCAGAGUAAUUAUCAUGGAAGACAAAUAUCAAAAAUUGUGAGUUGAAAAUUUUAAUUGUGUCAUCAGUCCUUCAUUUGUUAAUUAAAAAAAUUAUUAUGAAAGUUAGACAUUUUAAAUUACUUUAAUGUCCUUAUAAUAUAUGUAUAUAUAUAAUUUAAUAUAUAAUAUAUAAUUUAUUGUCC